rnacentral:lncRNA from 1 species
CUUCUCCUCCUCCUCCUCCUCCUCCUCCUUCUCCUUCUUCUCUUCUUCUUCAUCUCUUCUUCUUCUGCUACCUUUUCAUUUUGCCUGUUUCUUCUCCUCUUCUCCUCUUGUUGGAGCUAAAUUACCUAAUUAUGUCUUUUUUGAGCUAAAUAUUCCAAUUAUGUCAUUUUAGAGGAAAACAAGCUAAGUAUAUAAUAUUCAUGAGCUAACCAAGGUUCUUGUGCCAUUUUGAGCUUAUUAUGGUAUUUUGGGGCUAAAUGGGCUAAUUAUGUCAUUGUUGGGUUAAUUAAAGCAAGGAUAAUAUGAAAGAGGAGAAGAAAGAGGAUGAGGAGGAGAAGAAGAAGAAAUCAAGAAGAAGGAGGAGGAGGAGGAGAAGAAUAGAAGGUCCUUAGCCUUCUCCUCCUCGUCCUCCUCCUCCUCCUUCUCNNNNNNNNNNNNNNNNNNNNNNNNNNNNNNNNNNNNNNNNNNNNNNNNNNNNNNNNNNNNNNNNNNNNNNNNNNNNNNNNNNNNNNNNNNNNNNNNNNNNCAUGAUUAUUAGUUUGUAAGAUUCACAACUUAAAUUAUAUAUUUGAAUCUUUAUUAUUCAUGUACAUAUUAUUAUUCAUGUCAGUCAUUCAAUUUUUUUAUGUUGUACUAAUUUCUUUUAAUCUUUAUCAUGGCAGGUGUUGAAAGAUGGUGGGCGCGGGUCCAGAGCGCUCGACGGGUUGUUCCCAGGAGCCCCCCACGAGGGGUGGUACUUCCCUUCCUCCCCUAUCUCUCCGUAGAGCCUUGGCAGACAGUCUUUCGACACCAGCCGGGGGUUCUUCUUCGUCGGCGGCAUUGCCCACUGGGAGAGGUGCUGGUCGGGUACGGAGGAAGGGGAAGGGUACAGGCAGAGGUGGUGGCCGCGGAAGAUACAGGAGGACUGUUGAGCCGUCCUCGCCACCACCACCAGCUCAUUCACCCGAGCAUCGGACUAGUAUGGUUGAUCCGUUUGCGGAGGAGGCUACAGGGACUCCGGUCCAGGAGCCUGGUGUUCACGGGCAUUCGUCCCAUGAGACUCCGGUCCAGGAGCAGCCUCGGGUCGAGGUGCACUCGGCCUAGGAGCAGCCGGAGGAGACUACGGUUCCGGAGGCUUCACCCGACGUGGAGAGGCCCGGAUGGGAGCCUUGGCCGGAUCGUACCGAGUUGCCGGAUUGGACCGAGGGUCCGGGUGGCUCAGGGGGCGGGGAUGGCGGGGAUGAGCUUACGGAUACUGAGGGCGAUGUGCAGGUGGACGGGGCCACCGUGUACAAGCGUGGUAGUACACGUCUCGCGGUCGCCCCGGCUACCCGCGAGCAGAGGCCGGUGAUUAAACCUGAAGGAGAUAGGUAAGUACAUUUACCCUUUUUUUAGCUUUUGCCUUCAAGUUUGUUCAAAUAUCUAAUGCGCUGAACUUAUCAUACUGCAGGGGAUGGGUACACCCUCUUGGAGUCCGCGGGCCGAACUCCGUCCUUGGUGUGCUUUGCCGGACAAAUUUCCCGGGGUUUGUCACGUUGCCUGGUGAGGGUCAGGUUCCUACACUAGGAUUUACCUGGGAGCACUACCAGGCUGCGCAGGCCCCGCCGGAGGAGAUUAUAGAUGGUGUCUUGUGCCACACGAGGGCCCAGAUGGUGAUCAAGAGCUUUUGGGUAAAUUAUCCUUUUACAGAAUCUAAAAUUAACAAUAUACCUAAUUAUUUUACUAAUCGGUGUUUUCACGUUUGAUUGGAGACCUUCUAUAGGUGUGAGGAUGGAUAUGAGGAGGAGGCGGCCAGGGUUCUCGAGGUCGAGUGUAGGCGGUUACUACAGAACUUGCGCCACGAGGCUCGACCGCGGGCUAUUCGAGAUUACUAUGCCACGCAUGGUAUUAAGAAGGAGAAGAAGGAUUGCCGCGGAAAGUUUCUAAAGAAGGAGCAAUACAUGAAGGUAAUUACGUAUUCUUAAGUCCUACGUAGUUUUCUUGAUUUCAUUCAUAGGCGUAGCGCUGAAAAUUCUUUCUAAUAACUUACAGGUGCCCCGAAGAUGGUGUGCGGAUAAGAUGGAUUGUUGGGAGGCGUUGGUUGAUGAGUGGUGCACAGGCAGUUGGCGAGCCGUCCACGAGAAUGCGAAGGAUCGGCGUAGCCAAAUGGUUGGUGUGCCACACCAUCAAGGCAGCGCCAACUUACUUCAGUUUGGACGAAACUGGGUAUGUGAUUUGCUUCAUGAUUCAUGCAAUUCAUUCUUGAUGCUAAUAUUUUGUUCCUCUCUUUUAGGCGCAUCACAAUAAGACUGAGAUGCCACACUUGUACGACCUCUAUGGAAUGGCCCAUACUGCCUCGUACAAGAAGGCGAAGGCAUUCUCUGAGUCUGACCUGGAUGAUCCCAGUAACUUCACCAACAUAGCAUCCCACCAGAAGCUCGUGGCAUACAGGGACGCGGGGAAGGCUACGAAAGGGGAUGACUUUAACCCUAGCCAGGAACCUUUGGAUCCAGAGCUGGUGAUGAUAUCUGGUGGCGGGAGGCCCCAUGGCUCGAUAGCCAUUGGAGAUGGGAUAAUACGUUGUCCACUCACUCUUCCGGAGAUCAAGGCGCGCCAGUCGAGCAGAUGUCCUGAGAUAACGCCUCGUCCACGGCCAGUCGAACUUGCCAUCGAGGUUAGUUGUAUGGACUAAGAACACUUUCAUCAAUUUCAUUAUGUGUGUCACCAUAGAUCAUUACUGUGGUAACGAGGUAUGGUUUUUCAGGCUGCUCUUCAGAAAGAGAGAGCGGCAAACCAGGCUGCUCUUGAGAAAGAGAGAUUGGCAAGCCAGGUGCUCUUCAGGCUGCUCUUGAUGAGAGGGACCAGAGCACGUCACGAUUGCUUGAGGAGGAGAGGGCCCGGAAUGAGGCGGGUCAACGGGCCCUGUACGAGCUUUUUGUGGUAUGUUUUUUUCACGUUAGCCAAAUCAUGUGUGUAAUGUCUAAUUCAAUACUAACUAAUACGACCCACUCUUUACGGUCUGUGUGAGAAGAGCGGUCAAGUCCCUCCGCCGAUGCCCGUCUUCUCUUCGAUUGGCACGGUGAGUUUCAUUAUAAACUAGUAUUAAUAAUUGAGUGUCAUCAUGCUAACUGAGACAUUGCAAAAUAUCUUUUCCGCAGAAUAACUCCCGAGCGGCAUCGCACGACCCUUCUCUAGGGCGACCGUCUCCAAACAAAGCCGGCGCGAGCAACCGUGGUGUUUCUCCUCCUUGAUGACCACUACGGUAAGUUUCUCCUCCAAACUUAGCUUGUUUUCCUCUAAAAUGAGAUAAUUAGCCCAUUUACCUCCAAGAAGACAUAAUUAAGUAAUUUAGCUCCAGCAAGAGGAGAAGAAAUAGGAAAAAUGAAAAGAAAGAAGAAGAAGAAGAAGAAGAGAAGAAGGAGAAGGAGGAGGAGGAGGAGGAGGAGGAGGAGGAGAAGGCCAAGGACCUUCUAGUCCUUCUUCUCCUCCUCCUUCUUCUUGAUUUCUUCUUCUUCUCCUCCUCCUCCUCUUUCUUCUCCUCUUUCAUAUUAUCCUUGCUUUAAUUAACCGAACAAUGACAUAAUUAGCCCAUUUAGCUCCAAAAUACCAUAAUAAGCUCAAAAUGGCACAAGAACCUUGGUUAGCUCAUGAAUAUUAUAUGCUUAGCUUGUUUUCCUCUA